GACGACCCGCCACCGCCGACCCCGACCACGGCCUCCACUCCACCGCCAGCGCCACCUCCCCUUCCUGGCCGGAGAUCCACUCGAGCUCCACCCUCCUCUCGAUUAAUCUCCAAAUCCCGCCGUCGGCAACCCCCACCGGUGAAACCCCAUCACCACCGGCGACCUCCCUCCCUUCCUCUUCAGAUUGACGGAUGGGUGGGGACGGGGAGGGGCGGAUCUGCACCCGCACCCACCGGAGCGUCUUGCUACGGUGGCCCUCGCCGCUGAUGAACUCCACGACGCCCAUCUCCGGCCAUGGCGACCGCGGAUCUCCGACCCCCUUUUCUUGAGGCUGUCGCUGCUGCUAACGGUGGUGGAGACGGUGGUCGCCGACGCGGUGCUGUCGCUGCCCAACGUCUGGCGGCGGGCGACGAACUGCCCGAUGCGGUGCGUGCGUGCAAGAAGUGUUCGAGAGCCAGUACGUCGUCUUCACCGUCGGCACCUUCAUCGCCUCCUUCCUCACGGCUUGGGCCGCCAGCUUCUCAAGUGGAAGAUGAUCCUGCUGCCAUCAAGUUUCGGUUUCUUGUCAGUUGUUAGCUUGAAUUAAUACAUGUACUUUUGGUUAUGCAAAUGUAGGUUCUGUUGUUAGAUCUUGUAGUUAGUUGUAGAUGGAGUUUCUGCUUGUUUGAAAUCCCAAGGACUGCCUGGUAGUAGUGUAUCAUAAGUAAGCUUUUAAAAGUAUGGUUGAUCGACUGGACGAUAUUCCAUGUCUACUUUUCGUAC